CUGGGCUGGAAGUGUCCUAAACUGACCAGUAGUUGUGCCAUAUAAAGGGAUAAGAGGUCAGUGGGAGUGGAUGAUGGAUGGCAUAAACCUGGCCAUUGCAAUAUGAGCAUGCUGGCUGUAUUGACACGAGGCUGACCCAGACAGACUUUGACCUUAGUUUGAUCUCCCACCAUUCAAGAAAAGCUUCCUUCAGCUUCAAAUGGCCUUACUUGGAGCUCAGCUGUACAGAAAGGGUCCACACAGGUGAACUGAUACCAUGGAGACUCCCAAGACCAUGGCCUGGGUGCUCAAUCCUCACGGACACCCAUGGAGCCCUCCAGAGCCACCUGAUCCUCCCUCCUCAGAAGAUCUGCAUUCCCUGGGGUUCAGGUAAAACCUCAUUAACGUAACUGCAACAAUGAAGACAUUACCUAAAGUUCUGAUCUGUGUUUGGUGCUGUGGGGGAAUUAGAAGUGAGUCAUGUGGUCCCUGACCUCAAAGGACUCCAGCACGCAUCCCAUCAAUCUGCAGAAGGAGAGGACAGACUGCAAAAAUGGGACGAGCCUCGGGGCUGGACACAAGUGGCUGGGAAACGUCCGCAGCAGGUCUCAUUCCCCGGGAGGCGAGGAUGAAAAUUACAGGUGACACAUGGGUCAAUGGCCUGUCUCCUGACUCAAGACACACAAGGAAGAGACUCUUUGAAGCCUCAGGAGCAGACACUCAAUUGGAUAGCGCCUGGGAUUUGAAGGUCUGCCAUAGAGUCCGAAGAGAGGGGGAAAACACACGCAAACCACCCAAUCACAGGGACCCCUGUGGCUCCUCACCCACCCUCCACCCUCCACCUUCCACUUAUUCCACUCCUCUCGAUUGUCAAUUAAAAUAAACAGCCUUGUAUUCC
rnacentral:lncRNA from 10 species